GCGCAAUUUAUAGCAACAAGUUUUAGGGAAGUUGGUGAAAACCCAACACUGCCCCCGCAGCGGUAACAAUGAAACGCAUAUUGUUUGAGUCAUUCACUCACGUCACUGUUUUUUAAAAUGGGAAGACGAAUAUGCUGGUUAUAUCUGUAACCUAUAUUGAAAGUCCGAAGACCUGCUUGUUGUUUACUUCGAUG
rnacentral:ncRNA from 2 species